UAAUUCCGGAUAACGCACAUAUGCUGGAAUGCUUUAUGCGUAAAAUGGAUUCGUCUGCCCAAGGAUGGGUCUGCGGCCUAUCAGGUAGUAGUGGGUGUAAUGUACCUACUAGCCAACAACGGGUACGGGUUGUGAGAGCAAGAGCCCGGAGAUGGAUUCUGAGACAUGAAUCCAGGCCCUACGGGGCGCAGCAGGCGCGAAAACUUUACAAUGCGGGAAACCGUGAUAAGGGGACACCGAGUGCCAGCAUUAUAUGCUGGCUGUCCAGGUGUGUAAAAUACACCUGUUAGCAAGGGCCGGGCAAGACCGGUGCCAGCCGCCGCGGUAACACCGGCGGCCCGAGUGGUGAUCGUGAUUAUUGGGUCUAAAGGGUCCGUAGCCGGUUUGGUCAGUCCUCCGGGAAAUCUGACGGCUCAACCGUUAGGCUUUCGGGGGAUACUGCCAGGCUUGGAACCGGGAGAGGUAAGAGGUACUACAGGGGUAGGAGUGAAAUCUUGUAAUCCCUGUGGGACCACCUGUGGCGAAGGCGUCUUACCAGAACGGGUUCGACGGUGAGGGACGAAAGCUGGGGGCACGAACCGGAUUAGAUACCCGGGUAGUCCCAGCCGUAAACGAUGCUCGCUAGGUGUCAGGCAUGGCGCGACCGUGUCUGGUGCCGCAGGGAAGCCGUGAAGCGAGCCACCUGGGAAGUACGGCCGCAAGGCUGAAA
rnacentral:rRNA from 1 species